rnacentral:rRNA from 2 species
CCUGUAGGUGACUGCGGAGGACAUUA